UUAUAUUUAGUAGAUGAAGUUCUGUUUGUGCAGUUUUUUCCUUGUGGAUUUUUUUAGUAUUGUGCAAUUUUUUAUGGUGCAGUUUUUUUGCAUUGUGCAGUUUUUUGUAUGCAGUUUUUGCAUCAUGCUGUUUUUGUAAUGUUGUAUGCAGCUUUUGUAUGCAGUUUUUGCAUUAUGCAGUUUUUUGUAAUGUUGUAUGUAGUUUCUUGUAUACAGUUUUUGCAUCAUGCAGUUUUUUGUAGUGUUGUAUGUAAUUUCUUGUAUGCAGUUUUUGUAUCAAAUUUUUCGUUGCAAUAUGUAAGCUAGAACAAGAAACACUAAUAUCACAUUUGUAAUGAUCUAAAAGGAUAACAUAGCAACAAUAUCUCUUUUGCAAACAUAACAGUACUAUAUCAUCAGCAGUCAAUAUUACAUAUUGAAACAACAUUUACCAUCAUUUUUCUCAUAUAAUUUUAGAAGAACAGAAUUUUAACACACAGAAUUGCUAAAAUAAAUACAAUAAAUAUCUUUCUUUUAGUUUCGAUUCUUUCCAUCAAUGCUGUUGUUCUUGUAGAAACUUCUGCAACUUUAGCCUUCAAGUUCUCUAUUUGCUCGGACAAGAUAGGGAUGUUGUAAUUUAUGGUUUGAAUAUCUUCUCAUUUGAUUAUUUUUGGGAAGAUGCUGAUGAUUCAAACGCCGAACUUUCUUUCAACUGUGAGAGAUUUGAACUUUCUCCUUCCAAACGUUAUUUGAAUAUCAUUGAUUUUUUAUCGCACCACAUGAAAAAAUCACAGUAAUUUUUAUUAUCCUUUUCAUAUUUAUGACAACUAUUAAAUUGUCGUCCUUUUCUUCUAGCUUGUUGUGAAGAUCUAAUUAUAACUAUCUCAUUAUAUAUAUUUGCACAAAACUAGCCUGUCUUCAAGAGAACUUGGCAUCAGCAAUCUACACAAAAUGGUAAAACAAGUUUUUUUAAAAAAGACUG
rnacentral:lncRNA from 1 species